CGGCAAACAUGGCUGCUCCGUCCACCUGAGCUACCACCUGAUUGGUGAUCACCACGGCCACGCCAAACUGAGGAGAAAACAUUCAGCAGAUAUUAUGUGAAGAUGAUCGCAACUGACAGAGCUAAAUAUAAACCAGCCGCAGCAACAUCCUCAGGAAGCGAGCCAAGUGCAUCUGCCGCGCAGACAGCUCCCCUCUGCCCGAGUAAUCUGUUCUGUAUAGAGCUGUAGCGCUGUCCACUAUGAGAAGAGCGUACCUGCACAAAGGAACAAAAAUCUAAGCUGAAGGUGCAAAAGCAGACAAGAUUUUGGAGAAGGAACAUGACGGUGGUGUGAAAAGGGCCUAAGAAGAGGAGAAAGCCGCUGUCAGACACCUCUGGAAGUGACUUAUCUGCACAUGAACAAAAGCAUCAGGCAAGAAAAAAAAACACCUGACAAGAAAUCAUGGCGGAGGCUACCGCGGUACUAGGAGCGGCGCCAUCCCGGUCCCCGCCGUGCAUUCUCUUGAUACUAAUAUGUGGGUAUUAUUCACCACAUACUAUGCACUGAUGUAGUUUGAUGUUUCUAAUGUCAUUUGGCACCUUAUACUAUUAUACUGUGUAUCUAUGUUUACUCAUGUAAAGGUACGUUCAGACAAGCGGAUUUGCAGCGUAUUUUACGCUGCAGAUCCGCCGCUGAAGGACCUCUAUAUGGUGGCUUUACAUGUGCCUGCU